GCUGGGCAUGGUGGUGCAUGCCUGUAGUCCCAGCUACUCGGGGGGCUGAGGCAGGAGGAUCGCUUGAGCCCAGGAGUUUGAGGUUGCUCUGAGCUAGACUGACACCACGGCACUCUAGUCCGGGCAACAGAGUGAGACUCUGUCUCAAAAAAUAAUAAUAAUAGAAAGAACAGCAUAAGCCCAGGAGUUUGAGGUUGCUGUGAGCUAGGCUGACAUCACAGCACUCACUCCAGCCUGGGCAACAAAGCGAGAUUCUGUCGA
rnacentral:sRNA from 1 species